AGACGGAGGGGGCUAGCGUUGUUCGGAAUUACUGGGCGUAAAGCGCGCGUAGGCGGAUUGAUCAGUCAGAGGUGAAAUCCCAGGGCUCAACCCUGGAACUGCCUUUGAUACUGUCAAUCUUGAGUUCGAGAGAGGUGAGUGGAAUUCCGAGUGUAGAGGUGAAAUUCGUAGAUAUUCGGAGGAACACCAGUGGCGAAGGCGGCUCACUGGCUCGAUACUGACGCUGAGGUGCGAAAGCGUGGGGAGCAAACAGAAUUAGAUACCCCAGUAGUCC
rnacentral:rRNA from 1 species